CAACUAUAUAUGUUGUAUAGAAGCAUUGUUAGCUGUACAUGUCUGCCUGGCAUGGUUCAUCUGACCUUGACCUCAUUUUCAAGGUUCAUUGGUCUUUGUUUAGUUAUCUUGGUUAAUGUUAAGUUUAUGUGACAGUUGUAAUUAAAGCUUAGCUUUAUACUUAGGACUAUCAACAUAAUAUCAAUGAUUAGUAUAGAAGGCGAG
rnacentral:lncRNA from 1 species